rnacentral:rRNA from 1 species
GGAUGCGAUCAUACCAGCACUAAAGCACCGGAUCCCAUCAGAACUCCGUUGUUAAGCGUGCUUGGGCGAGUGUAGUACUAGGAUGGGUGACCUCCUGGGAAGUCCUCGUGUUGCAUUCC